AAAUAUUUAUAAUCUUCUGUCCAUUUGAAAAAAAACCCAUCAAAAGCUGUUAGAGCAGACAAAACAUUUGCAGCUCAGACAAUGUUGAUUUAGGAGCUGCAAUAAAAUUGGCCUAAGUAACGUUAAUGUAAAUAUAAUUUUUUUUCUUCCACACUCAGACCAAAAAAAAGCACAACCAGGCAAUGAAACCAGCGACGCUCUGAAACCGUCUGGACCUGCACAAUCUCAGCGCACAAAACCUGAGGCCGGCUCUACUUCUCUGAAUGAUAGCAGCGCCGUAAAUGUCACACAGACGCCAAUUACACCGUCAGCAGUGUUUCAUACCGUCGACUCUGGUGGAAAGAAUGAAGCCCCCCCCAGCAGCUCAAAUGUCACUAAUAGCACGGCAGCAGAUGAACUAGUAUCACCCUGGAUGGAAACCACCGUAGAAAUCCUUUUGACAACAGUGUCACCAACGCUGAGAGACAAAACCGAUGACAGAGAUGCCUUGAAUUUUACCGACUUUGAGAAACUUCAUCCAAGCUUUGAAAAUG